GCAAAUACAUGCAUCAGGGCUGGAUAUCACUCAAUUUAUGUGAUGUGUUGGUCUCUGUUAAACUUUGGAGAACAGAGAAGACGAACAACACACACCAUGUUCUUUACAUCUUUACUGCUCCUGUUGGCAGCUGCUUCCUAUGUCCACAGUUAUGAACUGACUCAGCCUGCUGCCAUGACAGUCCAGCCAGGCCAGAGUCUCUCCAUCCCCUGUAAGGUUUCUUAUUCAGUUACAAGUGAGGCUACAGCUUGGAUUCGACAACCUGCGGGAAAAGCUCUAGAGUGGAUUGGAAGCAUCUAUUAUAAUGGAAAUACAGAUUACAGUGACAAACUGAAAAAUAGGUUUAGUGUCUCCAGAGACACUUCUACUAACACAAUAACAAUUCGAGGACAGAAUCUGCAAACUGAAGACACAGCUGUGUAUUACUGCGCCAGAGAGUCACAGUGAUACAGAACAGUGGAUUCCCCUUACAAAAACCUUGAGGCAUUUUAGAAACAUACUCUCAAUGCAAAUAAUAA